rnacentral:rRNA from 1 species
GACGCUGUGGCCAGCCCAGUUGGGCUUGAUUGCAACGGGUGAAAGCAGGUAAAGAAAAGACUCCAUUUUCUCUCGCCCUACAUGCACCUAUUGCAUUUGAGCUGAACGAAAUAGAUUUGUUUGCCCCGUCUAGAAACACGGACCAAGGAGUCUAACAUAUGUGCGAGUACUGGGGCAACAAACCUCGGUGCGCAAUGAAAGUGUCAGAGGCUGGAAUGUCUUGUACAUUGCACAGUCCGCCGGCCUCAAUCCCUCGGGAAAAUGGUCUGAGUGUGAGCAUACAUGUUGGGACCCGAAAGAUGGUGAACUAUGCUUGAGUAGGGUGAAGCCAGGGGAAACUUUGGUGAAGGCUCGCAGCGAUUCUGACGUGCAAAUCGAUCGUCAAACUUGAGUAUAGGGGCGAAAGACUAAUCGAACUAUCUAGUAGCUGGUUCCCUCCGAAAUUUCCCUUAGGAUAGCUGCAAUCUAUAUAUUAGCCAGUUUUGUCA